AAUGCACCACAGGUUUGCAUAAGUGUCAUAUUAUUAAGUUGUCAUAUUAAACUCAUAAUAUGCCUUAAUGUUGAGGUGGCUGUUAGGUUUAGUUUUUAUGUGUCCAGUACCUAGUAUAGGCCUAGGUAAACUUUAACUUAGGCCUACCUUAUUCAGUGCAACAAAAUAAACUAGCCUAGGCCUAGUUCCAAUUUUAACGAUUUUCUACUCAUUGAAGUGUUAAAUUUGGAGUUGUGAAGUAUUUAGUCAGUAUGUUACUUCAUUAUUUGAUCUCACAAAUUGUGUACGGUAAAAAAACUUUAUGACAACUACUGUACUACAUUUAUAUUCUAAAGACCAUUGUGUUAAUACUAUAAAUCUGACAUUAUUAAUUUGAUUAAUAAUUAUAACCCCGACAAAUUAGAUUCAUUGGAUAUUUUGAUUGUUUAAUUUUUUACAUUUUCAAUAUAAAAUUAAAUUUAGUAUUGUAGGGUAUUAUCAAUAGUAUUCUUUUUGGUGAUUUUACUUUUUCAUACAACUUUUAUUGUAAUUUUGCAAAAAAAUAAUUUAUUACCUAACCUUGAUUUUUGUUAACAUAAUUUGUAUUUUAGCAUAUGUAAUUUUCAAAUACAAAUUGUUUAUUGCUAAA